AUUGAACGCUGGCGACAUGCCUUACACAUGCAAGUCGAACGGUAACGGGCCUUCGGGUGCCGACGAGUGGCGAACGGGUGAGUAAUGUAUCGGAACGUACCUUUCAGUGGGGGAUAACGUAGCGAAAGUUACGCUAAUACCGCAUAUUCUGUGAGCAGGAAAGCAGGGGAUCGCAAGACCUUGCGCUGAUUGAGCGGCCGAUAUCAGAUUAGCUAGUUGGUGAGGUAAAGGCUCACCAAGGCGACGAUCUGUAGCGGGUCUGAGAGGAUGAUCCGCCACACUGGAACUGAGACACGGUCCAGACUCCUACGGGAGGCAGCAGUGGGGAAUUUUGGACAAUGGGGGGCAACCCUGAUCCAGCCAUGCCGCGUGAGUGAAGAAGGCCUGGUGUAAGCUCUUCGCGGAGAAUCGUAUGGUAUACCUGUGCGGA
rnacentral:rRNA from 1 species